AAUUAAUAUUCUUCCCCAUCUGACUAAGAAGGCAACAGCUGAGCAACGUGAGAUCAAGAGCCAUAUUAAUUUAAACAGGGGCUGAAAGUGGCAUUUGAGAGAGAAGAUACUUCCUCUCGUAGUGGACACUUGUCUUUUCAGAAGAUUUAUACGACUGAGAGUCAAAACUUUUACCAGAGACUUUCAUAGUCAGUUUGAAUUCUGCAAAAUUUCUCUUUAUCUUCUGGAAUGUAUGCUCUAGACUUGGAGUGGCUCAAGCUCUUCGAUGUGAUCCUAUCAAUGUCAAGAGAAAGAAGCACUGAAGAGUCAUAAUUGUGUCCUGAUUUAUAAAUCGGAGACAGAGGGAGACGAAAACCACACUCCAGAAAGUAGCUUAAUCGGACUCACUACUAAGAUGUUAAAAGUGAAGAGGCUGGAAGAAUUCAACACGUGUUAUAACAGCAACCAGCUGGAGAAAAUGGCCUUUUUUCAGUGCAGGGAAGAGGUGGAGAAAGUGAAGUGUUUUCUGGAAAAAAAUUCUGGGGACCAGGAUUCAAGAUCUGGACAUAAUGAGCUUUCAUGCAGCUGUUGAGAAGUCCAAACAAGUUCAGAAUCCUGAUCUUUUGUGUGUGGCCUAUAUUUUCUCUCUCUAGCAACUUGGGAAACCUUCUAUUUGUCCUUGUAUUGGGAAAAGUUUCUGCCAGAACCAAGAACCACUGUCCGUAAGUGGAGGGAAGUUCAGACUGAAGAAAGAGGCAAAACCACUUUAGAGUCUUGCUCUGUCACCCAGGCUGGAGUGCGGUGGUGUGAUCUUGGCUCACUGCAACCUCUGCCCCCCAAGUUCAAGCGAUUCUCCUGCCUUGGCCUCCCGAGUAGCUGGGACUACAGAUGGAAUCUUGCUGUGUCUCCAGGCUGGAGUGUAGUGGCGCGAUCUCGGCUCACUGCAACCUCUGCCUCCCGGGUUCAAGCAAUUCUCCUGCCUCAGCCUCCCGAGUAGCUGGGACUACAGGUGCCAGCCAUCACGCCCGGCUAAUUUUUUGUAUUUUUAGUAGAGAUGGGGUUUCACCAUGUUGGCCAGGAUGGUCUCGAUCUCCUGACCUCGUGAUCUACCCGCCUCAGCCUCCCAAAGUGCUGGGAUUAUAGGCGUGAGCCACCGCGCCCAGCCUAGUCUCUGCUUUUUUAAAAAAAAUGUUAGGACAGUGGUCCCUAAACUUGUCUGUGUAUUAGAAUCACCUGGGAAAUCUUUAAAAAUUCUAAGGACCAGGUAAAUUAAAUUAUAAUCUCUGGGAAUAGGACUGAUUUUUGUAUUUUUAGUAGAGACGGGGUUUUGCCAUGUUCACCAGGCUGGUCUCGAACUCCUGACCUCAGGUGAUCCACCCGCCUCAGCCUCCCAAAGUGUUGGGAUUACAGGUGUGAGCCACCACAUCCAGCCCAGACUAAUUUUUCUGAUGACAAAUGCUGCUUGUUGAUGUGAAUUCUGAUAUGGCACACACUUGAGCCUCACUUUGUUAGCUAUUAAUUUGUGUUACUGAAUUUACAGGCCUGGAAUACAAUUUGUGCUUCUUUUUAAAUAAAUUUCAUACUUUUUUUUUAAUGGACUUGUAAUCUACCUGAACUUGAAUUUGUUGAGGGUUUACGCUAAUGAAAAUAACAGAAAGACAAACUGUGAGAUAUAUCAUGCCAUUUAUAAUUAAUAAAUCACCAAACAGAGGCACAAACUUCAAGGGCUAUAAAAUGCCACACAUUUUCACAGACAGUUAAUAGUAAAUUAUUUGGCACAGACCCUUCUGUAGCUGGGUAGGAAGUUACUGUAUUUAGUUGCUUUCAAACUCGUAAUUUUACCUGUGGAAGGGUGGCCCUCUUUUGACUCUUUCAAGAACUAUUAUAAAACAUGAGAUGUUUGUGUGCAUGUGUUGGGGGGAUUAUGCCUUACCCUUCCAGUUUACAGAAAUGCUGCUGGUUUGUUUCUUUUUAAUACCAUUGGUCUGGUCCUCCUCCCCUCCCCACCUUUCUCACUGAUAAAAAUUCAAUGUACUGGUCUUUAUGAGUGAAGCUGACGGGAGUGUUUUUUCGUGUAUGUGGGUGGAUGUGAUCCAGGAAUGUAACCCAAGAUUUAGCUGCAUGUCCUGCCCUUUGAAGAGCCUUUUGUAGAGAGUUCUAGCUUUCCCUAAGAAGCCCUAGGACUUUUGUUCAAAAUGAGCGCCCCGUUUUCCCUCAUUCCUUGCUAAUAUGGUCUGUCUGCAAGAACAGUCCAAAGUAAUGUCAGUGGGAUGGUGGAAAGAGGACCACAUCGUGAGUCCAGAUAACUGGCCUUAGAAAGUUACUUUAUGGAUCAAAGGAGACUCGUGACUUCUAGCCAUAUCUAAAGGCGUUCUUAAUGUAAAAGAAAAACAUUCACAGACUUCCUUAUCAUAGCAGCCAUACUUCUGUUAUUUCCUGUUGAGAAAUUACAUGACUAGUAGC
rnacentral:lncRNA from 1 species